UCUUUCUCGCGAGAUAUAUCACGGUCAGUAUACACGUGGCAGUGGCCCGAAGAGUCCCUGCCAUGUUCUCUCUGUGUUGUUGUCGUCAAAGAUAAAAGCUGUGAGAACUUCGAAUGCGCAUCAUAAUUACAGCUAACUUAUUUUCAGUGGCCAUCGCCAGACUGGAGGACACGGAGAAUUAUCACGUUUGCGAGGCAGCGUCGUGCAACGAUUGAGUGGUUAUCGGUCUCCAGUUGAACAUACCAAGAGGUGCACAGAGAUAUAAUGCCAAUCACGUCGCUGAAGGCCACGGUGAAUCAACAUGUUUUCGAGGCAACGUCGUGCACCGCUCGCCAGUUGAGCAUGCCAAAAAUGUUUCUUUUUAACUGCCAAUCGCCGCGCCGUAACCGGAUAAGCAUACAGAGGACACGGAAAAUCGACACGUUUUCGAGGCAACAUUGAGCAGCGAGCGAUUCCGUGGUUACCGGUCUCCAGUUACACAUACCACGAAGUUCGCAGAGAGCUCUCUAUACCUACGUACACGUCGGAUGCGACCUGGGUUUGGAGAUCCUACUAUUCGUACUGAUUUUACAUUCAUGUUAUAUUUCUUUAAUUUUUAUUAUUUAAAUAUUAUUAGAGAAUAUAUUGGUUAAAUAAAAGCAUGAACACGUAAUUAAACGCUUUGAGUAAUUAAAGCCACCAAUUUAUAUCAAUUGUAAAUGGAACUUGUAAAAAUAGUGGUUGUAAAACGCAUUUGGCCUUAUGGUAAAAACAAUUCAUCAGUCAGCCUUUUAUAAACAAAUGUCGUUACAAAUUUCACAUUAUAAAUAGUAUAUUGGAUCUAGUUAAUAUUCCUCUAAUUCACUGGUAAGUCAUGUUUCUGAACAUGUGCUCUCACACGACCCCCGUGAUUUUUCGCGUAUGAUUUGUGCGCCUGCCGGCAACUGUCAGAAUAGGGCCUUUGCAAAAGAAUUUACUUCAGAUGUUCCUGAUAACGAUUCCCUGAAUAUAAACGCCUCUGUUUUUAUAUUCAUUAAUUUAGUACAUAUAUUACAAUUACGUGUAUUGAAAUCCACACGCGUGUGUAUUAUCAUUUGUAUUAUCAGCGAUUGAAAUAAAUAUAGUCUAACUAACA